UUUUUUGGAACCCUGAAAACGCUCCUCAAAAGUCACUUGUAUUCAUAUAAAAAACAACCCACUUUCGGUGCCAACCGCACUAUCUUUACUGAAAUUUUCCAUGCUCAAAUCAGAACAUAAAAUUCUAGCACAACACGCUUGUAAAAACACAUGAAAAGGAUCAUAACUUGUUAUACAGACUCAUACCAUCAAUGAAAUUAUUAGAUUUAGAAGCACCGUAAAAGCCAUUCCCAGUAGCACCACAACGAACUUGCUAGCUUAAAACGUGCAAUAAUUCCUAAGUAUAACCUUGCUUGUAUCUGCGAAAAAGGUCUUCUGUUUUUGCAUUCCUGAAAGCACAACAACCUAUCAAAUAAACCCAUAUCAAAGCAACAAGUGUAAUUAGCAAUAUAAUAUCUGCUCUUCUCCAUUCUUUUUUCAGAUUAGCCAACAAUCCAGCCUUGCAGGAAUCGCAAUUGUAGCAAAGUUGGUUUUGGUCAUUGUUCCAAUUCAGGCAGUCCAUAUCUGCAGCAUUGUUGAUGGGACUAAUCCAAUACGUUGGGUUCACAAAGGUGUACCCACAUUGCGUAGGAGGCUUGCAGCAUCCUGACUGCAAGGGGGUAAUACGAGCAUUAAAGAAAUCUUGAGCCAUGCGAUAACUCUGGUUCAACUCAGAACACAUAUCGGUUGCACUAAGGCAGCUUCUUAUUCGAUCCCACUUGUAAGAACUUUGAACCCUUCGGCGAAGCCAUCCUGAAAAAUCAUCGACGUGAUACUCCAAGUAGGCUCUACUUGGUUCAAGGUGACCUGACCCCCUGACGGUGACCAUAUAGAUGAAAACCACUAAACAUGCAAGCAAUAUUAUAAGGAUGAGCAUUGCUAUGAGAUAGAAGAUAAGGAGCCAUGGGAUUCUCCAAAAACCUCCAACAAACCCUGCCAAAGCUACAACCAAAAUCAAUAUCCCCAAAAUAAUGACAGGCCAUUGUAGAAUCUUGACACAAGAGUUGUCUGGUUCCAUCGCUAGCGCUCCGAUUAUUGGAAUUGAGAGAAGCAUGGCAACGAAGUUGAUUGCACCGAUAACAUUGUUGCUUAGUGCCAUUUUGGCGAGAGAAUUAUUUUGGGUUUUGUUUGUUCCUAGAGCUCAAAUAAUGAUCAGGGAAAAAGAUGAAUGUUGAAAAAAUAGCGACAUGAUCUGCUUUAUUCACAUGACCGAUGGCCCAGUUACUUUUUGAAAAGGAGUACCUGUAUAUGGUAG
rnacentral:misc_RNA from 1 species